rnacentral:rRNA from 1 species
CCUANGGGAGGCUGCAGCAAGGAAUAGUAGGCAAUGGGCGCAAGCCUGACCUCGCGACGCCGCGUGAGGGAUGAAGGCCUUCGGGUUGUAAACCUCUUUUUUCAGGGAUGAAUAAUGACAGUACCUGGAGAAUAAGUCACGGCUAACUACGUGCCAGCAGCCGCGGUAAAACGUAGGUGGCAAACGUUAUCCGGAUUUACUGGGCGUAAAGAGUGCGUAGGUGGUUAUUUAAGUCAGAUGUAAAAUCUCCUGGCUCAACUGGGAGGGACCAUCUGAUACUGGACAGCUAGAGUACAGCAGAGGAAAGUGGAAUUCCCGGUGUAGUGGUGGAAUGCGUAGAUAUCGGGAGGAACACCAGUGGCGAAAGCGGCUUUCUGGGCUGUUACUGACACUGUUGCACAAAAGCGUGGGGAGCAAACAGGAUUAGAUACCCGUNUANUC